rnacentral:misc_RNA from 1 species
GAGAGAUCCAGCAUUACCACAAAACCUAUAAUUUUGGAGAUAUCAUUUGGAAUACUUCCAUGGAGCUCGUUGCUCGAAAGAUCUAAUGAUGUAAUAGAGGUGCAAUUCUUAAGACCACGUGGAAACUUGCCCUUGAGACGCAUGUCAGGAAGACUGAUACUCAAAACUCUGGUUUCAUCAGGAUGCCAGCACUGAAUCCCAGCAAACUUGC